GACGUAGGGCGCGAGCGUUGUCCGGAAUUAUUGGGCGUAAAGAGCUUGUAGGUGGCUCGUUGCGUCGGGAGUGAAAACCUGCGGCUUAACCGCAGGCCUGCUUCCGAUACGGGCGAGCUAGAGUUCGGCAGGGGAGACUGGAAUUCCUGGUGUAGCGGUGGAAUGCGCAGAUAUCAGGAGGAACACCGGUGGCGAAGGCGGGUCUCUGGGCCGAUACUGACACUGAGAAGCGAAAGCGUGGGGAGCGAACAGG
rnacentral:rRNA from 1 species